CAUUCAUGUGUUAAUGGAUAAAUAGGUUAUCAUGGGAGUGGGACUGGUUUGGAGCUUGCAGUGAGCUGAGAUUGCACCACUGCACUCCAGCCUGGGCGACAGAGUGAGACUCCAUCUCAAAAAAAAAAAAUAAAUAAAAUAAAUAAAAUAAAAUAAAAAGAGGAAGAAAGGCCAGGCUCAGUGGCUCAUGCCUGUAAUUCCAGCACCUUGGGAGGCCAAGGCACGCAGAUCACCUGAGGUCAGGAGUUCGAGACCAGCCUGGCCAACAUGGAGAAAUCCCAUCUCUACUAAAAAUACAAAAAUUAGCCGGGCAUGGUGGCGGAUGCCUGUAAUCCCAUCUACUUGGGAGGCUGAGGCACGAGAAUCACUUGGACCCAGAAGGCAAAGGUUGAGGUGGAGGUUACAGUGAGCCAAAGUCGUGCCACUGCACUCCAGCCUGGGCAACAGAGCAGGACUCCGUUUCAAAAAAAAAAGGAAGAGAGACCUGAGCUUGCACACAGCCUGCUAGCCAUGUGAUGCCCUGUGCUACCUCAAGACUCUGCAGAGUCCCCACCAGCAAGAAGGCCCUUGAUUUUGGAUAUCUCAGCCUCCAGAACUGUAAGAAAUAAAUUUCUCUUCUUUAAAAAUUGCCCAGUCUCAGGUGUUCUUUUAUAGCGAUGCAAAAUGGACUAAGACCCAAGUCUAUUCAUAAGAGUGGAAUUCUUUUGGGGGAUAACAUUUCACUUAAUUGGGGCUCCCAGUUGUAUUUCCUGUCGUCAAUUGAUGGUACAUGUUCACCUUUGAAAAACCUUCCUGGCUCACAAAAACAGGCGAGUGUGGGCACUUUUCAUGCCAGGUAAAAUCUACAUGAAGAAGUUUUUUUUGUUUUUUUUGUUUUUUUUUUUUUUGAGACAGAGUCUUGCUCUGUCACCCAGGCUGGAGUGCAGUGGUGUGAUCUCUGCUCACUGCAACUUCUGCCUCUGGGGUUCAAGCAAUUCUGCCUCAGCCUCCCGAGUAGCUGGGACUACAGGUGCACACCACACCCAGCUAAUUUUUUUUUUUUUCUGAGGAGUCUCACUCUGUUGCCCAGACCGGAGUCCAGUGGUGCAGUCUCUGCUCACUGCAAGCUCCACCUCCCGGGUUCACAC
rnacentral:lncRNA from 1 species